rnacentral:lncRNA from 1 species
AAAAAAACACAAGUGCAACAGAUGGAAUCCAUCUUCUUGAUAUGGUUAAAGUUAAAUUAUAUAUAACGUUACAGAAACUGAAACAAUUUCAUUAGAUUUUAGGUAAUAUCAAAUUUUGACACACAACCAUCGAUAUACAUUUUGCCUUGUCAAACUAAUUUGGACGAUGAUAUUUACUUUUGCAAAACGUUAAUUGAAAUGAGAUAAACUCGAACAAAGCCUUAUUCAACAACCUCUGGUGUAUGCGUAAAUAAUAAGUAUAAUGCAGUCCGUAUAGUAAACAGAGUACAAUGUAAUUUGACCAAAAUAUACUUUUAGUACAUGUUUUACCUUAAUACGUCAACCGAGACCUACGAUGAAUAUUCAUUUUAAAGGGUCGUGGGUUUCAAAACUUGUUAUUUGUUGUGAUGGAAGAAUGGUGAAUAUUGAUUCGUCAUGCAAAAGCACAAGUAUAAGCACUGACAAUAUUAAUCUGUUAAAGAUAAAGAAGGGUGAGUAACAUACAUUUUAGAGAUAUAUAUGCUAUCCAAACAUGAUAAUCUAUAAAGUAAAUGUAUUAACCUAAAUCUUAGAUAAUACACAAAAUAUUACAAACAGCUCCUUUCUGAAAAUAUUAUUCGGCUAUGCUAUUUAUAUGGUGAUUCAU